GGGGUUGUAGCUCAGUGGUAGAGCACUUGCCUAGCACGUGAGAGUCACUGGGUUCAAUCCCCAGCACUUCA
rnacentral:tRNA from 1 species